rnacentral:rRNA from 1 species
GAUGAACGCUAGCGGCAGGCCUAAUACAUGCAAGCCGAACGGCAAGUCUGAUAGCAAUAUUAGACCUAGAGUGGCGUAAGGGUGCGUAAACACGUAUGCAAUCUACCCGCAACAGGAGGAUAGCUCGGGGAAACUCGAAUUAACCCUCCAUAAGAUCUUAGACCGGCAUCGGUUAGAGAUUAAAUCUGAGGAGGUUGCGGAUGAGCAUGCGUCUGAUUAGCUAGUUGGCGGGGUAAUGGCCCACCAAGGCGAUGAUCAGUAGGGGAACUGAGAGGUUGAUCCCCCACACUGGCACUGAGAUACGGGCCAGACUCCUACGGGAGGCAGCAG